rnacentral:rRNA from 1 species
AUUGAACGCUGGCGGCAUGCCUUACACAUGCAAGUCGAACGGCAGCACGGUUGCUUUCACCUGUUGUCGAGUGGCGAACGGGUGAGUAAUACAUCGGAACAUUUCCUUUAGUUUGGGAUAGCCCUCCGAAAGCCGGAUUAAUACCGCAUACGAUCUACGUAUGACAUCGGGGGACCUUCGUGCCUCGCGCUAUUGGGUUUGCCGUUGGCUGUUUAGCUAGUUGGUGGGGUAAAGGCCUACCAAGGCGACGAUCAGUAUCUGGUCUGAGAGGACGACCAGCCACACUGGGAGUGAGACAGGGCACAGACGGAUACGGGAGGGAGCAGUGGGGAAUUUUGGACAAUGGGCGAAAGACUGAUCAAGCAAUGCCGCGUGUGUGAAGAAGGACUUCGGGUUGUAAAGCACUUUUGUCGGGAAAGAAAUCGUUGGCGCUAAUACGGUCGGGGGGAUGACGGUAACGGAAGAAUAAGCACCGGCUAACUACGUG